UGUAUACGCGUGUAUAUGAGCGCUUGUGUCUGUACUGAUGUUAAAAAAACCAUAACCCAUAGAUUGAUGCAGGGGGGAUUAGUACAUUAGAAAAUCAAGAGGCCAGAGGUGAUCCUCCUUUUUUUUAUAAAGAAAAUCAAGAGGCCCACGAGAAAAUCACAGGGAGAAGCUAGUUGGUUCCCAACACGACCUCGGAAUCACGCCUACUUGGCACAAUUAGGAAAACAUGAACACAAGAUUGACUUUGCGGUCGUAAACGUAAACAGGUCAAAAAUCAUGGUCAUGUUGUAACAAUGCAUAUAUGUAGCUCAGAGAAAGGGGGAACAUCAAAUCAUCCAUUGUAGGAAGAGGAGCCAUCGCCAUGAUAGUUAUUUGUUUCUCUAUCUAGCACAAAUUGUUUAUCACCAGAUAGUUUAGGCAUUUCUAUAGAUUAAUGAAAGAAUGCAAAAGGAUGAGACAUAUAUAGGCUUCAGAUAUCUAAUUCGUGACUCCCAGAAAGUAAAGCAAAAAUUUAGUGUGGCGAAUGGUUAAAUGCCUGUUAACCACCAAACUAAACUACUAGUGUGGCAACUAGAAAUUAAGAGAUGCAAAAAAAUCGCUGGUGCACUUUGCCUGAAUGUAAUCUGUAUCCAAUGGUAUGUACAUAACACCACCGAGGGAGAACAAAUCAUCAGCUUGUAAAAAAGACAAUAUCAGUGGCGGAGCUACGUGCAAUGCUAAGGGGACCAUGCAGAAUAUAAUUUACAUAUUCUAAAAUUGUCACCGUGUACAUUUUGCAGAAAACACCCCCAGCUUCCCCCGACACAAUCCACACUCCACACCGCCCAUUCCGCCCCACGUCGCCUUGCCCCUCCCUUCCCACCUCCUCCCACGCCGGUGCGACCUUCUUCCCCCAUGCCUCGUUUGAAGCUUGGAAUUUUGCCGAAGGUUGGAUUUUUGCGCGGCGGCCUAGCGAGGCGUCCAUCCCCGAGGACCCCUGGCCAUGGCGGCCGCCGUCCAUGUCUACCUCCUCCGUCAGCCUCCUCCGUCUGCCGCCUUGUCGACCCGGUCUCUUCUCCUCGCCGUGGCGCUUCCCCCCUCCCGCCUUCCCGUCUCCGCUCCUCCCUCCCCAUCGGCACCUGCCAACUACCCGACGAUCUGGACUCCGGCGACCCCUGCUGGCCCCCUCGUCCGACCACCUGCUCGCCGUCAACCAUGAAGCCCGCCCCCUCCAUGGACAUCGUCGACCCAAGCACUGGGAAGCACGGGUGGUCAAGGUGGAGGAGCUCACCGCCGAGCUCGCCGGAGCACUACGCGCUCAAGGCGUCCACAACUCCACGUGCUCAAGUCCAGAGCUUGCCGGAGCUUCAGAUCCAGAGCUCAAUGCUGCAUUGCUGACUGGCACAUCAGGGGCAAGCAGCAGACCAUAAAAUUACAAAUGAUUUCUCCGCGGAGCGGAAGAUUGGUGGAGGUCCAUUCGGAAACGUUUAUAAGGGUGUUGUGCCAGAUGAUGGCAGAGUGAUUGCGGUGAAGAAACUUCAGGAAAACGCACAGAUGCUGCCUGACAAGACAUUCAACAAUGAGGUUCAGAACAUUAGGGCAUUAUCUUUAGCUUUUUCUACAUUUCCAUAUUUGGAGCUAGGACAUUUUGAUCUCCAAAUGCUAGUUUGACAUUUCACUAGCAAUUCUGAAAUACUCAUGCUAAAGAUUGCAGGAAAAUGCUUUUCUCUCUAUAGUUUGAGCCACAUCUAUAGUGUGAUCAUUUAAAUUCAGGUCAUGUACUCCUGGGAGUUGUCUGAAUUUUUUUGUUAGAACUUGGGAGUCGUACAUGACCUGUAGAACAUCUAAAGUUCCGUUAGAAGAUUCUGUAGUUCAAGGUUUGGUCUUCGGCCCUCUGUUUCUGCUAUCCGCUGAUCUUAAAUGUGUGUAGUUUGCUCCAUAGCAACUACACACACUGUCAAAACUAACAAGAUGUUAUACUGUUGUCAAAACUGAAAACUGAAAACUGCUGUCAUUUUAACUGAAUUUCUCUGAAGACAUAAUUGCAGUGGCUAGUCCUGGAUAUUGGUGAGAAUCACAGUCUUGUGGUUGAAAUUCUACACAUGGUAAAAGUUCAGUGUAAAUGUUUGAAAUUUUGUUUGAAGCUUCAGUGUAAAUGUUCUAUUUUAAGAGUACAAGAUCACUGAAUACAGUUUCGUGGGGUCCUAUUUUUCAGUGUAAAUGUUCUAUUUUCAGUGUAAAAUUUUGUUUAGAAGGGCCCCUUAUUUUUUCAGAUUCUUCUAUGAUCAAUGCAGAGACUAAUGGAGAUAAUAGCUAGUGCAAAGGAGUCUAUUUGGAUAGUGGAAGGGGAAUCAGAUUGCCUCGGGGGACAAAUUUGACUAAGGCAGCAGCACUGAACUUUACCUCUUGCGGCACAGGCGGGCAUCAGCAGCGGCUAGGGAUGGGGUGGCAAAAGGCAGCGGUGGCGAGGGGCGGGGCUCGAUCAGGCGCCCGGUCGUCUCGCCGCUGGGCAGACCCGCGUGGCCCUGCCAGCCGAAGCAGCCAGAGAGAGGAGCGGCGGCCGCGGGCGCGAGGAAGCGGCCUGGGACGUGAGCAGCAGCACGCACUCCUGGUCCAGGCGAUCGACAGCCAGGAGAACACAGAGCUCGAGGAGGACGAAACGCGCGGAGGAGAUCGUGGCUGGAGGGGGACGCGCGGAGGUGCUCGUGGAAUGAAGGGAAUGCGCCAGCGCGGUUCCUCAGCGGCGGCGGAGCAGUUCCUGGACGGCGCACGUCCUGGCCGGCGUAGGUGAAGAAUCGUACGACGGCAUCCUUGGCGACGCGUGGAAUCGCGCAGGUGCAGGUGGGUGGCGGCGGUGGAAUCAGAGGCGUAGGUGGCGGGCGGCGGCGGAAUCAGAGGGGCAAGUGGGCUCGUGCUGGAGAACGGCGGCGAAAUCAGUUGGGCGGCGCCUGCCCAGGCGAUGCGCGGGGACAACGGAGGAAGAAGAUGGAGACAUGGUUCUAUUUGAGACAGUUUGAAAACUCCGAGGGCAUUUUUGCAAAAACACUAGUACACUACGCGGUGGACAACUUUUUCCGGACGGAGGGAGUAUAUAACACCACCGAGGGAGAACAAAUCAUCAGCUUCUAAAAAAGGAGUAAAAUGCAUCAGUGCACCCUAAACUUGCUGGUUAGGACCAAAACGGUCCUCAAACUCUGUAACUGCAUCAUUACAGUCCUAAUACUUGGUCAUACGGUGUGAGUACGGUCCUCGAAUUUGGUCCAUCGGUCCUAGAGUUCGUGCAUCAUACGAAAUCGCUGUACAGAGCCGUAUUGGGUCGGCCACGUCGUCCGUUUGUAGGGCCCACUUGUUAGUUUCUUCAGCUCUCCUCUUUCGCAGCUCCCAUUCUUCAUUCCUUGCUGUGCCUUGCUGUGCCUUGCUGAUUAUUCUGCUGCUCCCAAGCUUUUUGCCUAGCAGCCUCCUCAGCCUCUUUAAAAAUUCUUUAACCCUCCUGCCUCUCAAACUCCUCUGCUUGAUGUAUUAGAAAAGCUGCCUCCUCCUGCUGGUGUGAUGUAUUUGCAAGCAUUUUUUCUCCUGUGCAAUCCUUCUCUUCUCUUCGGCAUUUUUUUUGUUUUGCUAAAUCGGCAUUUCUUUUUCUCUCAUCCAUCAUUUGCCUUUUCUUCUCUGCCAUUUGAAGUUUCUCCUCUUGGGCCUUUCUCUUUUUUUCCUCAAUAGCUCUUCUCUUUUCUUCUGCAGCAAGUCUCUUCUCCUCUAGUAUAGCUUUUUUCUUUUCCUCAGUUGCUUGUUUCUUAGCUUCCAACUCUUCCUUUCUCUUUUGAGCCGCAAGCUUAAUUUUGUCCUCUUCUUCUUUCAACUUUGCCAUAGCUGCUUCAAACUUUGCUUGGUCUGCAACUUCUCUUUUCUCAGCUGCAGCUCUUAACUUUGCCAGUGCUAGAAUCUCUCUUUUCCUGUGAACAACCAUCGAGGAAAAGAAUAGGCCUACAAGCUGAUAGGAAGCCCCUCUUGCAAGCAUCAAAGGAAAAGUAGCAUUUCUCAAACUUACCAUCUUCAUCAAGGUCUAAAUAAAAUGUACUUCCUGAAUUGGAUCUCCUUAGCUCAUUUGCAUAGUCCCACAACUUGUUGUACUGUGCUAUUUCAUCACCAUAUAUAAUAUUGAAAGCUAGUCCUCUGGCCCUCCCUAGUUUCCCCCUUUUAAUUGUCAUGUUACAAUCUUCUUGCACAAGUGCUGCCAAUCCCUUCAAGGUUAUCUUCUCAUUAGCUCUUAUUUUCUCCACAUACUUGUCAGCAAUGUACUUGGCAGUAAAUGCCCUCACUUGCCACUUCUUGCUACAAUGAUGCACACCAUUGAAGGUUUUCACCAUAACUGAAUUUGUCCUUUUGUCCAAUGAGGCAUAAAGAUACCAUGGACAUCCAUCCUUACACUUAGCACCAAUCCUAGUUUUAUCAUUCUUGGGAAAUGUGAUGCUCACUUUCUCUUUCACACUAUACUCUCUGAUUGCUCUUCUUAGCAAAUCAACUGAUGAGAAUAGUUGCCCCACAUG